CCUACGGGUGGCAGCAGUGAGGAAUAUUGGUCAAUGGGCGAGAGCCUGAACCAGCCAAGUAGCGUGAAGGAUGAAGGCUCUAUGGGUUGUAAACUUCUUUUAUACGGGAAUAAAGUGAGGCACGUGUGCCUUUUUGUAUGUACCGUAUGAAUAAGGAUCGGCUAACUCCGUGCCAGCAGCCGCGGUAAUACGGAGGAUCCGAGCGUUAUCCGGAUUUAUUGGGUUUAAAGGGAGCGUAGGUGGACUGGUAAGUCAGUUGUGAAAGUUUGCGGCUCAACCGUAAAAUUGCAGUUGAUACUGUCAGUCUUGAGUACAGUAGAGGUGGGCGGAAUUCGUGGUGUAGCGGUGAAAUGCUUAGAUAUCACGAAGAACUCCGAUUGCGAAGGCAGCUCACUGGACUGCAACUGACACUGAUGCUCGAAAG
rnacentral:rRNA from 1 species